UUGUCGGAAGGCUUUUUGGGGUCAGUUGGCCAUUCUAAGCAGCUGAUUUGUGAGCCACAAGAGGGCAGAGUGCAACUCAAAACAGCUUGGUGUCACAAGGCCUGAUCAAUUCCAGCAGCUUUAGGCCCUGGGCCAGAAAGAUGCAGCUUACGUUACUUCUGGCAUUGUUUUUCAAACUCUCCAGUGUGAAAUGUCACAUAUCAAAUAUACACAAAGCAUUAGGACCACAAGGAAGCGGACUACUUUUCCAGAAAAUAAAAACAACAUGGAAAUGGGUUUAAAUGCACGAAUAAUCCUACUUCGCGCUUUUUCACCUUUCGCGGGGGGUUCUGGUCCCCAUUAACCGAAAAUUGAAAAUGUGCUGUUUUUCCUUAUGAUGAAAGUGCAAUUUUUGUUCUAUCCAUCCUUUGCAAUUUCCUGGCACUUACUGACCUGAAAGUGUGUGUUUUUUUUGUUUGUUUUUUUCAGCGAAUUGAAAACUUUUGGGAAGCACGGAGGCAGAUGUGCAAACCAGUCGCUCACUGUGUCACCUACAUAUAUAUUAUUGCAAUGUACAGCAACAGUACAUUCUAAUGAGGCAGCAGUAUUAUUAUUUUUUUUUUUUUCCACCGACCGCGACAGCCUGCUUUGUUAUCGUGCGACAGCUGUGACGUCAUUAACAGAGUGCAGUGUUGUAUCCGAAAGCUGUUAUGAAGGAGCUCACUAUAUAAUGCAACCCUAAACGGGCAGAACUGAGUAGUGAGUGAGCGAACGAUUUUGGACACAGCCUUCGAAUAAAAAUGUUGUCAUAUCACACGGUGGGGGUUGGUGGCUACGCAUAGCCUAUGUUAAAUCAAAGCGACGGCUCCGUUGUUGUAAUGCAGAAUUCCAGCCGAGGGGGUGAUAGAAGCGAAGCACUGCAGCUUUCAGAAAUUGAACAAUUUUGAGUCUUUGUGCACAUUAUGUAAGAGACCAAAAUGGACCCCUUCUAAAAGUAUUUUAUUUUCUUCAAUUUUUGGGUCAUACCGGGAAUCCUGAUGUGGGUGUGGAAGGUUUCCUGGAGCUCCCUGAGCGAAAAGUCUGUUUUUAACAAUUUGAAAUUUUUUUUAUUUAUGCAUAAGCACACAAGCACGACGCUCUCCGAAAAUAGAAGAAAGAAAUUGCACUGAGAAUCAUGAUGUUUGUGUGGCAGGUUUCCUUGCACUCCCUGAUCUCAAAGUGUUAUUUUUUAACAGCUUGAAAACUUUUCGUUCACCCUACGUAGUAAAAAUUUGACUCCUUCCAAAAGUGUUUUUUCUUUUUCUUCUAUUUUUGGGUCACACCAGAAAUCCUGAUGUGGGUGUGGAAGGUUUCCCGGCACUCCUUGACCUAAAGGGGACAUCCUGAUGCGUGUGUAGAAGGUUUACUGUCGCUCCCUAAACCAGAGGUUUUGUGGUGAUCAGCACUCUGAGCCCCCUCUGCAGAGCAUGGGCGAAACUCUGUUCCUCCCACCGACUCCCUCUCCGUACCUGGUUUCCAUCAGCACUCAUCACAGCCUGCACUUAAGCCUGGCAGUUCCAGUGUUCCAGCACCAGAGUAUUCCCGCACCUCCAUGUUCCUUCCAGUGUCUCCUGCAACGCCACCCGCCUCAACCACGGUGCCAAGCUCAAUUACCUGCUCACUCGUCAGCCUCCUGCACUCUCCUGCUCCCACAGACCACCCUCACGCCUC